UGGGGAAUUUUGGACAAUGGGGGCAACCCUGAUCCAGCCAUGCCGCGUGCGGGAAGAAGGCCUUCGGGUUGUAAACCGCUUUUGGUCGGAAAGAAAAGGCCUGGCCUAAUACGCUGGGUUCUUGACGGUACCGGCAGAAUAAGCACCGGCUAACUACGUGCCAGCAGCCGCGGUAAUACGUAGGGUGCGAGCGUUAAUCGGAAUUACUGGGCGUAAAGCGUGCGUAGGCGGUUUCGCAAGUCUGCUGUGAAAGCCCCGGGCUUAACCUGGGAAUGGCAGUGGAAACUAUGGGACUUGAAUCUGGCAGAGGGGGGUGGAACUCCACGUGUAGCAGUGAAAUGCGUAGAUAUGUGGAAGAACACCGAUGGCGAAGGCAGCCCCCUGGGCUGAGAUUGACGCUGAGGCACGAAAGCGUGGGGAGCAAACAG
rnacentral:rRNA from 1 species